rnacentral:rRNA from 1 species
CCUACGGGAGGCAGCAGUGGGGAAUUUUGGACAAUGGGCGCAAGCCUGAUCCAGCAAUGCCGCGUGAGUGAAGAAGGCCUUCGGGUUGUAAAGCUCUUUUGUCAGGGAAGAAACGGUGAAGGCUAAUAUCUUUUGCUAAUGACGGUACCUGAAGAAUAAGCACCGGCUAACUACGUGCCAGCAGCCGCGGUAAUACGUAGGGUGCAAGCGUUAAUCGGAAUUACUGGGCGUAAAGCGUGCGCAGGCGGUUUUGUAAGUUUGUCGUGAAAUCCCCGGGCUCAACCUGGGAAUGGCGAUGAAGACUGCAAGGCUAGAAUCUGGCAGAGGGGGGUAGAAUUCCACGUGUAGCAGUGAAAUGCGUAGAGAUGUGGAGGAACACCGAUGGCGAAGGCAGCCCCCUGGGUCAAGAUUGACGCUCAUGCACGAAAGCGUGGGGAGCAAACAGGAUUAGAUACCCUGGUAGUCCACGCCCUAAACGAUGUCUACUAGUUGUCGGGUUUUAAUUAACUUGGUAACGCAGCUACGCGUGAGUAGACCGCCGUGGGAGGUACGGCCGCGAGAAGUUAAAACGUUAAAGGUAAGUUAGACGGCGUGAGACGUGCCGACGGACGACGACGAGGGAGGAGG